UAGAUAUAUUCUUUAUUAUAUGUUCUUUAUUAUAUAAUGUGUUUAAAACAUUUUUAAAUUGAAUGAAUAUUCUUAGAUCAUGAGUUAUGUAAUAAAUUUGAAUUUGCCUCUACUAGUGAUACUCAGAUAAAAUCAGGUUCAGAAAACGGUUAACAAACUUUCUAAAAUUGGAGGUAAAACCAUUAAGACAAAUACAAAUAAAUGUGAUGCAAAGUGUAUGACAGCAUGCAACCUUAAUCAAACUUUGAACCUGACAAAGUGUCUCAUAACUUGUAAAAAUUAUAAUUUGUGUGAACUUGGUUGUUUUUUCUACAGUCAUAUUAAAGAAAAUGACACUGGUUGUUGACUAACGGUUUAUAAUCAAAAUUUAAUAUGGCUGGCGGUAAAGGUAAAGAGAAGU